UGGGGGCAGCAGGAGCUUCAGGGAACUAUGAACAGUGACCUUCUGACACCAAAGUUUUUCUGCAGACUGCUGACCAGUCGCCCUGCCCCUGCCCUCCAUCCCACACCUCUCAGGACGGUGAUAAGGAUGACACCACAAUAACUAACCUUGACUGAGUGCUCCUUCGACAGCAGCCACCGCCCCAAGUACUUUAUGUGGAUGCUCCCAUCUAAUCCUCACACUGACACUGUGGGUGACAGACUGUAUCCCCAUUUACUGAUGAGGACACUGCUGCUGACCGAACUUCCUGAAGGAGGGACCACCUCUGAGCUUUGCAUCCUG
rnacentral:lncRNA from 1 species